GACGUAGGGAGCGAGCGUUGUCCGGAAUUACUGGGCGUAAAGAGCUCGUAGGCGGGACCGUAAGUCCGAGAGGAAAUCUCAAGGCUCAACUUUGGGGCUUUCUUGGAUACUGCGGUUCUUGAGGAUGAGAGAGGCAAGUAGAAUUCCCGGUGUAGCGGUGAAAUGCGUAGAUAUCGGGAGGAAUACCAGUGGCGAAGGCGGCUUACUGGCUCAUUCCUGACGCUGAGGAGCGAAAGCGUGGGGAGCAAACGGG
rnacentral:rRNA from 1 species